rnacentral:misc_RNA from 1 species
GAUGAAGAACGUAGCGAAAUGCGAUACGUAAUGUGAAUUGCAGAAUUCAGUGAAUCAUCGAGUCUUUGAACGCACAUUGCGCCCCCUGGUAUUCCGGGGGGCAUGCCUGUCCGAGCGUCAUUGCUGCCCUCAAGCACGGCUUGUGUGUUGGGCCUCCGUCCUCCUCCCGGGGGACGGGCCCGAAAGGCAGCGGCGGCACCGCGUCCGGUCCUCGAGCGUAUGGGGCUUCGUCACCCGCUCUUGUAGGCCCGGCCGGCGCUUGCCGACACAUCAAUCUUUUUUCCAGGUUGACCUCGGAUCAGGUUGGGAUACCCGCUGAACUUAAGCAUAUCAAUAAGCGGAGGA